rnacentral:rRNA from 1 species
AUGAACGCUAGCGACAGGCCUAACACAUGCAAGUCAGGGGCAGCACAAGGAGCAAUCUGAGGUGGCGACGCGCACGGGUGAGUAACACGUAUGCAACCUGCCUGUAAGCGGGGAAUAACCCGUUGAAAGACGGACUAAUACCGCAUAAUACUAAAUUACUGCAUGGUAAUUUAUUUAAACAUUUAUGGCUUACAGAUGGGCAUGCGCAUGAUUAGCUAGUUGGAGAGGUAACGGCUCCCCAAGGCAACGAUCAUUAGGGGUUCUGAGAGGAAGGUCCCCCACACUGGUACUGAGACACGGACCAGACUCCUACGGGAGGCAGCAGUGAGGAAUAUUGGUCAAUGGACGAGAGUCUGAACCAGCCAAGUCGCGUGCAGGAAGAAUGUCCUAAUGGAUUGUAAACUGCUUUUGCAGGGGAAUAAAGUGCAUCACGUGUGAUGUUUUGUAUGUACUCUGCGAAUAAGGAUCGGCUAACUCCGUGCCAGCCGCUGC